GACGAACGCUGGCGGCGUGCCUAAUACAUGCAAGUCGAGCGGAUGGAAGGAAGCUUGCUUCCUAAAGUCAGCGGCGGACGGGUGAGUAACACGUGGGCAACCUGCCCCCAAGAUCGGGAUAACUUCGGGAAACCGGAGCUAAUACCGGAUAUGAUUAUGUCUCACAUGAGACAUAAGGGAAAGACGGUUUCGGCUGUCACUCAGGGAUGGGCCCGCGGCGCAUUAGCUCGUUGGUGAGGUAACUGCCCACCAAGGCGACGAUGCGUAGCCGACCUGAGGGGGAGAUCGGCCACACUGGGACUGAGACACGGCCCAGACUCCUACGGGAGGCAGCAGUAGGGAAUCUUCCGCAAUGGACGAAAGUCUGACGGAGCAACGCCGCGUGAGUGAAGAAGGUUUUCGGAUCGUAAAACUCUGUUGUUAGGGAAGAACAAGUACCAUAGUAACUGAUGGUACCUUGACGGUACCUAACCAGAAAGCCACGGCUAACUACGUGCCAGCCGCCGCCGUAACAC
rnacentral:rRNA from 1 species